rnacentral:lncRNA from 1 species
CGGAAGCAUAAAGUGUUGGUGCUUCGAUUUUUUAGCCCUUAGAUCAACCCCAUUGAUCAUUUCUAAUUAUUGGAUUAAUAUUAUUAACCAAUAGGGACCAUUCAAUCCUAGGGACCACUCAACUCUAAGGGGACCGAUAUCAUCCUAAUCGUAAAAUUUUUGAUCCAGGAGCUAAAAAAUCGAAAGCACCUACUAUUUUAUACUUCCGAUAGUAUAGUAGCUCUACACUAUAUAUAUAACUUUUGUACAGCAGGAUAACUUAGAAAUUUCGAAAA